ACAGGACGAACGCUGGCGGCGUGCCUAACACAUGCAAGUCGAACGGGGAUUUGUUUCGGCAGAAUCCUAGUGGCGAACGGGUGAGUAACGCGUAGGCAACCUGCCCUCCGGCCGGGGGACAACACUCCGAAAGGGGUGCUAAUACCGGAUACGAAGUCUGUGCCGCAUGGUACGGAUUUGAAAGAUGGCCUCUAUUUAUAAGCUAUCGCCGGGGGAUGGGCCUGCGUCCGAUUAGCUGGUUGGUGGGGUAACGGCCUACCAAGGCGACGAUCGGUAGCCGGUCUGAGAGGAUGAACGGCCACAUUGGGACUGAGACACGGCCCAGACUCCUACGGGAGGCAGCAGUGGGGAAUCUUCCGCAAUGGGCGCAAGCCUGACGGAGCAACGCCGCGUGAGUGAGGAAGUUCUUCGGAACGUAAAGCUCUGUUGUUCCUGACGAACCUCCCCUCUAUCAACAACGGAGGGGACUGACGGUAGGGAACGAGGAAGCCACGGCUAACUACGUGCCAGCCGCCGC
rnacentral:rRNA from 1 species